rnacentral:rRNA from 1 species
UACGGAGGGUGCAAGCGUUAUCCGGAUUCACUGGGUUUAAAGGGUGCGUAGGAGGGCAGGGAAGUCCGUGGUGAAAUCCCCGAGCUCAACUCGGGAACUGCGUCCGAUACUGGCGGGCUUGAAUCCGGGAGAGGGAUGCGGAAUUCCAGGUGUAGCGGUGAAAUGCGUAGAUAUCUGGAGGAACACCGGUGGCGAAGGCGGCAUCCUGGACCGGCAUUGACGCUGAGGCGCGAAAGCUAGGGGAGCAAACGGG